rnacentral:rRNA from 1 species
GACGAACGCUGGCGGCGUGCUUAACACAUGCAAGUCGAGCGGUAAGGCCCUUUCGGGGGUACGACGAGCGGCGAACGGGUGAGUAACACGUGGGUGACCUGCCCUCAGCUCUGGGAUAAGCCUGGGAAACUGGGUCUAAUACUGGAUAUGACUCCACGGUGCAUGUCGUGGGGUGGAAAGCCUUGUGCGGCUGAGGAUGGGCCCGCGGCCUAUCAGCUUGUUGGUGGGGUGAUGGCCUACCAAGGCGACGACGGGUAGCCGGCCUGAGAGGGCGACCGGCCACACUGGGACUGAGACACGGCCCAGACUCCUACGGGAGGCAGCAGUGGGGAAUCUUGCGCAAUGGGCGAAAGCCUGACGCAGCGACGCCGCGUGAGGGAUGACGGCCUC